rnacentral:rRNA from 1 species
CCUACGGGAGGCUGCAGUGGGGAAUAUUGGACAAUGGGGGGAACCCUGAUCCAGCCAUGCCGCGUGUGUGAAGAAGGCCCUCGGGUUGUAAAGCACUUUCAGUGAGGAAGAACGCCUGGUGGUUAAUACCCAUCAGGAAAGACAUCACUCACAGAAGAAGCACCGGCUAACUCCGUGCCAGCAGCCGCGGUAAUAGGAGGGUGCGAGCGUUAAUCGGAAUUACUGGGCGUAAAGCGCGCGUAGGUGGCUUGAUAAGCCGGUUGUGAAAGCCCCGGGCUCAACCUGGGAACGGCAUCCGGAACUGUCAAGCUAGAGUGCAGGAGAGGAAGGUAGAAUUCCCGGUGUAGCGGUGAAAUGCGUAGAGAUCGGGAGGAAUACCAGUGGCGAAGGCGGCCUUCUGGACUGACACUGACACUGAGGUGCGAAAGCGUGGGUAGCAAACAGGAUUAGAUACCCUUGUAGUC